UCCGCCGUAGUGUAAUCGGCAGCACGGCAUCCUUUGGAGAUGUUCGGUCUAGGUUCGAAUCCUAGCGGCGGAG
rnacentral:tRNA from 1 species